UUAAAGUUUUACUUUUGUUUUAAAAUUGGAUUAAAUUUUAAUUUAUAUGCUAGAUUUUUAUAGGUCAUGAUUAAAUAGAAAGUUAGAUAAUGCAAUAAAUAGUAUUAAAUAUUAAUUAAUGUUAGAUUUAGUAAAAAUUUUUUGUAUUAACAAAUUUUGUGCCAGCAGUUGCGGUUAUACAAAAAAAUACAAUUUAAUUUUAAUAAAAUUUUAAAGAUUAUUAUAAAUUUUAUAUAUUUAAAUUAUACUAAAAAUUAUUAGGUGAAAUUUUAUUUUUUAUUAAUUUAAAUUUUAUAUAAUUUGAGAAAAUUAAGGUUUAAACUAGGAUUAGAUACCCUAUUAUUUUAAUUGUAAAUAAAAGUUUGAUUAUUAUUUGUUAAGAUCAUUAAAAUUAAAAAAUUUGGCGGUAUUUUAAUCUUUUCAGAGGAAUCUGUUUUUUAAAUGAUAGUCCACGAUUUAAUUUACCUUAAUUAUAAAGUUUAUAUAUCGUCGUAAUUUUGAUUAUUUUAAGAGAAUUUAAUAUUCAAGAUUUAUUUAAUAAAGAAAAUCAGAUCAAGGUAUAGUUUAUAUUAUGGUUAAAAUGGGUUACAGUUUAUUAAAAUGAAGAUAUGAAAUUGAAAAUUUUUUUGAAUGUGGAUUUGAUAGUAAUUUUUUCUAAAUUGUUAAAAUGAUUAUAGCUCUAAAAUAUGUACAUAUCGCCCGUCGCUUUCAUUAUAAGGUGAAAUAAGUCGUAACAAAGUAGAUUUACUGGAAAGUGAUUCUAGAAAGCA
rnacentral:ncRNA from 1 species